rnacentral:rRNA from 1 species
AUUGAACGCUGGCGGAAUGCUUUACACAUGCAAGUCGAGCGGCAGCACGGGGGCAACCCUGGUGGCGAGCGGCGAACGGGUGAGUAAUACAUCGGAACAUGCCCAGUCGUGGGGGAUAACACUUCGAAAGAAGUGCUAAUACCGCAUACGUCCUGAGGGGGAAAGCGGGGAUCGCAAGACCUCGCGCGAUUGGAGUGGCCGAUGUCAGAUUAGCUAGUUGGUGGGGUAAAGGCCUACCAAGGCAACGAUCUGUAGCUGGUCUGAGAGGAUGAUCAGCCACACUGGGACUGAGACACGGCCCAGACUCCUACGGGAGGCAGCAGUGGGGAAUUUUGGACAAUGGGGGCAACCCUGAUCCAGCCAUUCCGCGUGAGUGAAGAAGGCCCUCGGGUUGUAAAGCUCUUUCGGCAGGAACGAAACGGUGAGCUCUAACAUAGCUUGCUAAUGACGGUACCUGAAGAAGAAGCACCGGCUAACUACGUG